UUGUUAAGUCAGAUGUGAAAUCCCCGGGCUCAACCUGGGAACUGCAUCUGAUACUGGCAAGCUUGAGUCUCGUAGAGGGGGGUAGAAUUCCAGGUGUAGCGGUGAAAUGCGUAGAGAUCUGGAGGAAUACCGGUGGCGAAGGCGGCCCCCUGGACGAAGACUGACGCUCAGGUGCGAAAGCGUGGGGAGCAAACAGGAUUAGAUACCCUGGUAGUCCACGCCGUAAACGAUGUCGACUUGGAGGUUGUGCCCUUGAGGCGUGGCUUCCGGAGCUAACGCGUUAAGUCGACCGCCUGGGGAGUACGGCCGCAAGGUUAAAACUCAAAUGAAUUGACGGGGGCCCGCACAAGCGGUGGAGCAUGUGGUUUAAUUCGAUGCAACGCGAAGAACCUUACCUGGUCUUGACAUCCACAGAACUUUCCAGAGAUGGAUUGGUGCCUUCGGGAACUGUGAGACAGGUGCUGCAUGGC
rnacentral:rRNA from 1 species